rnacentral:piRNA from 1 species
UAACUGAACGGGGAAUAACUGAGC